rnacentral:tRNA from 1 species
UCCCAGGUGGUCCAGUGAUUAGGACUUGACACUUUCACUGUUGUAGCCUGGGUUCAAUUCCUAGCCAGGAGA